GACCCCAUAGGGCGUUUGACUUCGGAUCAAAAGGUCUUGGGUUCGACUCCCACUUUGGUCG
rfam:Picea glauca, whole genome shotgun sequence.